rnacentral:lncRNA from 1 species
CGGGCCCCUCCUGCUGGGUCAGCUCUCAGUAUCUGGAGGAGGAUACCCUUUGAGGUCCUCGGGGGACUUGCAAGCAGAGCAGGGGGUAUGGGGAGAGCAUAAAUGGAGAUGAGACUCUGUUCACACUCUUUCCUGAUAUCCCUGUGUUUUCAAAGAGAAAACUGUGUCAAAACCAGGGAAGGGGAGGGGGGAGGUGAAAAAGGACAUUUUCCAAGAACUCCAGGCCUACAGUCCUUAGUGCAACAGUACCUGUUGUUUACAAAGAUUCAUCUGCCUCUGUCCUGCAUUUCCCUCCGUGGACACCAGGGCACUGUCUGAUCAUCUGGUCUUCUCAGUCCCCGGCAAAGUUCACGGACCCUGACACACCCUGCAGCUGUCUCCUGAAGGAGUCAGAGUGGACCACUGAAUCCCAGCUGCUCUUCUUUCAAACGAUGUGACCUUGGGAAAGUUACAUAACCUGUCUGUGGCUUUGUUUUCUUCCUUAUAAAUUGGGGUAAUAACACCUACGUGUAAAGGUUAUUCAGGUAAUGUAUGUUUAAAAGAAAAAAAAUGUAAAAGGAGGAAGUGAAAAUGAG